GAUGAACGCUGGCGGCGUGCUUAACACAUGCAAGUCGAACGAAGCACUCUAUUUUAUUUCCUUCGGGACUGAUUCUUUUGUGACUGAGUGGCGGACGGGUCAGUAACUCGUGGUUAACCUGCCUUGUACAGGGGGAGAACAGUUGCAAACGGCUGCUAAUACCGCAUAAUCGCACAGCAUCGCAUGAUGCAGUGUGAAAAACUCCGGUGGUAUAAGAUGGACCCGCGUUGGAUUAGCGAGUUGGUGAGGUAACGGCCCACCAAGGCGACGAUCCAGAGCCGAGCGGGGAGGGGGACCGGCCACAUUGGAACUGAGACACGGACCACAAUCGGACGCAGGGCUGGAGUGGAGAGUAUUGCACACUGGGCGCAGACCUGAUGCAGCCACGCCGGGUGAGAGAAGAAGUAGGUCGGUAUGUAAAGCUCUAUGAGCAGGAGAGAUAAUGACGGUACCUGACUAAGAAGCACCGGCUAACUACGUG
rnacentral:rRNA from 1 species